AGUGAACGCUGGCGGUAGGCCUAACACAUGCAAGUCGAACGGCAGCACAGUAAGAGCUUGCUCUUACGGGUGGCGAGUGGCGGACGGGUGAGGAAUACAUCGGAAUCUACUUUUUCGUGGGGGAUAACGUAGGGAAACUUACGCUAAUACCGCAUACGACCUACGGGUGAGAGCAGGAGAGCUUCGGACCUUGCGCGAUUGAAUGAGCCGAUGUCGGAUUAGCUAGUUGGCGGGGUAAAGGCCCACCAAGGCGACGAUCCGUAGCCGGUCUGAGAGGAUGAUCAGCCACACUGGAACUGAGACACGGUCCAGACUCCUACGGGAGGCAGCAGUGGGGAAUAUUGGACAAUGGGCGCAAGCCUGAUCCAGCCAUACCGCGUGGGUGAAGAAGGCCUUCGGGUUGUAAAGCCCUUUUGUUGGGAAAGAAAAGCAGCAGGUUAAUACCCCGCUGUUCUGACGGUACCCAAAGAAUAAGCACCGGCUAACUUCGUG
rnacentral:rRNA from 1 species